AUUGAACGCUGGCGGCGUGGAUUAGGCAUGCAAGUCGAACGCGAAAGAGGGAGCAAUCCCUCAAGUAGAGUGGCGAACGGGUGAGUAACGCGUGAAGAACCUGCCUUCAACAGGGGGAUAACACUCCCAACGGGGUGCUAAUACCGCAUGAGACCACGGGUCCGCAUGGACCUGAGGUCAAAGGUGGCCUCUGCUUGCAAGCUACCGGUUGAAGAUGGCUUCGCGUCCCAUUAGCUAGUUGGCGGUGUAAAAGACCACCAAGACGACGAUGGGUAGCUGGUCUGAGAGGAUGGUCAGCCACACUGGGACUGAGAUACGGCCCAGACUCCUACGGGAGGCAGCAGUCGAGAGGCUUUGGCAAUGGGGAAACCCUGACCAAGCGACGCCGCGUGGAGGAUGAAGGCCCUUGGGUUGUAAACUCCUUUUGUCGGGGAAGAAAUGCGAUCAGGUAAACAAUCUGGUCGUUUGACGGUACCCGGCGAAUAAGCUCCGGCUAACUCCGUGCCAGCCGCC
rnacentral:rRNA from 1 species